AAGUGAACACUUGAGAAUUUUAUGUAUAAAAUUUUAUUUCAGCUCUUUAGCGUGCCAAAGAAACAAUAUUCGAGAUCAUGUUCCUCCUCAUUUCUUUUAGUCUCUCUGAUCUCUUUGUCUUGUGCAUGAUGCUUUCAGUUAUGGGAUUUAGUAUAUAGUAUAAAUUCCAGCCUCCCAGCCAGGGAAAUAUUGUUGAAGUUCUAACAUUGAAUAUAAAUCACGUACGUACUUAGUCAUUUAACUUUUACCUGAUGCUCAUAAUUGAACUCUGCUCACAUGGUUUACUUUUGCAAAGAGUUCCAUAGAGGAUGAAAAACAAGAAGAAGAUCGUGAGAAAAACCAAAGACAGUGAAGGAUUCUGAGUGGAAAGUUCUUAAUGAAUUAAGGUUGUAUGGUUGUGCAGUCUUAAUGAGAUUUUAAGCGAGGACCAUCCAUGUCUUUGAGUCAGUUCACUGCCGAAGGCGAUGUCGAGUUCGAGGCUGUUCUUUUUGUUCCUCCAAAAGCUUCUCGGGUUCUGUACGAGAGUUGGUACAAACCUAAGAAGUUCAACUUGAAGUAAUGUCAGGCAUGCCUUCAUCUCAGUUGAAUUUGAUGAGUUUUCUCCCAAGUGCCUAGACUUUUUGAUGGGUCUGGAGGGUAUAGCCGGGAGUGAGCUUCUUAAAUUGUCUGUGCAGUUUAUGGGCUUAGCAUUGUAAUCUUACCUGGGAAUUAAGAUCCAUAUAUGUACUUAGCAUGUUUUAGACUAUAACAUUUUCAAAUUGAAAAUUUUAUUUUGUAUAUGUUAUCCAUAGAAUUUUAAUAUAUAUUUAGCCGAUAUUGGGUACUUAGUUGUUUGUUGAUAAGGACUUUUAUAUUAAAUUUCAUUGGUAUAAUGGUUUCCUUACCGUUUUUUCCAUCCUUUGUUAUCAGGUAAUAGAUUUCUUUCGAUUUUUUAUUUUAAUUUUAUAGUGAGGGUUAUAAUAAACUAUAAAUCUUUGGUUGGUUUUCUUAUUUUUUUCUUUUAGAGUGUUCUGUGGCGAUGUUUGAUCAUCAACAUCACCAACUUAUCAUUUUGUUCAUGUCAUUUUAGAGCUGAUGCAAGGGAAGAUUGCAAGUCAUGGAUUGAACUUGAAAUCACUACAAACGUUGUAAGAUUACUACUGCCCAUGUGACAAUUUUUUUUUAUGUUGUUCUUACUUCCCUAUUAAGUUCUGAAUUUAGUAUUUUUUCCUUGAUAUGUAUAUGGCAACCCAUUAAUUGGGGAAUGAGGAGAUUGCGUCUAAGGUUAUGAAUGAACAUAAACUGAAAUCGAUUAGCAUUUCAAAUUGCAUCCCACAUCACAAGUAAGUUCCUACACUUUGCAGUUGCAUAUUUUAAGAAAAUGAGUACUUGGCAGUUUAAGAACGAACAUGAUCACAAUGGAUGGGAAAAUGAUUAUCAAUGCCAUACAUAACUUUUUGGUUUUUAAAAUUAAAAUUCGUUUACACUUUAUAUGCCAAAUUAAAAAAAUAUAUAAAUAUUUUGUCGAUAUUUCCCCUAAAAUCCCUGGAGUUUCUUUAUAGGAACACAACGGGACCUUACCUCUCGAUGUAAGCAAAAGGUAUAAUUUUUUUACUUCACGUGCUAUGCUCUGGCGAUAUAGUUUUGCUGAAUAAGUAAGAUCAGGAGUGGCAUUAUGUCCAACAAGGAUAUGGUGCUCACGAUGUGUAUUUGCAUAAAAGUAGAAUGAGUCGGAAUCCUUGGCUGAAAAAAAGGUUCACAUGCACAACAACAUUCCAAUGUAUUGUUAGUGGUGUUAGGAAUCUUCUGUGUAUUCACACUGCCGUAGGGUUGUUGCAUGUUUUUGCAAGUACAAAUUAGUUCUUUUUGGUUAUGUCAGGAUAUUGCCAUUGACAUAUAAACUGUAUUCUUGAAAAAUGGCUCUUGCCUUUAUGAUAGUAUAGUAAUGUGUUUUCUGAGUUUCUCUAUCUCAUGUAUCCAUCCUUGCAUUUCAUUGACUUUGCACCUCAGCUGUCAGACACGUCCUUCUAUUGUGUUUUAGAGCGAGGUUAGUUUGUAGACCUCUAUUAUUAUUUACACUAUUUUUCUUUCCUUUUUGCAUUGCUUUUAUUAGCUUUUAUUGAAUGAUAAUGGUAGUUUUCUUUAAGUGUUGGAUGUGACAGGCGCAAAUGAGGAAAUUAUAUUGGUAAAUUGGUAAUGUGUGUCUGAAUGCUUCAUUGAUGUUAACAACUUGGAGAUCCGAUGCCCUGAAGAAAUCCUUUGUUUUUGUUAUUCUUUUCCCUCAUAUUUUAUUUUUACAGCAUCGGAUAUAAUGAGGAGAUGAUUAGGUAAAUUCCUUUUACGUUUGGUCAUCAAACUGAUGGCAUAAAUGUAUUAUCCCUAGGAAUGCCAGUAUCUAUUAUGAUCUGAACUUUGCGAGUAUGUACAACUAACCCAUGAAAGGAUCUUACAAGGCUUCCAUAACGAGCAAAUCGGUUCAUGUUUUAUCAAAUGUGUGUGACACACUUCUUAAAAUUAGCAACUGAAAUUGGAAACAUAGUCGAUAUAUUAAGAUGAAUAACUGAAUUGGGUUUUUUAUUUCUUUGCAGGAGCAUCAAGUUCCUUCUCAAGGAAUUCCAUUUUCAUAUUUGAACUCAAAUUGGCCUUAAUUAUUCUCUAUUUAUCGUAACUAAUGUGCUCAAUGGUUGAAGCAGGUGAACCAACCUAAUUUCAAUUGUCGUUGCAACGGAGAUUUCUCGAUUCGUUGGUGGUAUUCAACCAAGGACUAGUCCUUGGAAGGCUUGGUAACAUAUGUUCAAGAAGCAAAAUUAUCUCUCAAUAGCCAAGGUAUGCCAAAUUGGCAAAUUUCUUUUACAAGUAUGGUUGAUUGGUAUAGUCAACUCUAAAUCCAUGAACAUACGACUUUUCCUUUGCAUCUCCUAGAUAUGAGAAUCCCGUUUUUCCUUAAAAACUUACUUUUUGUAUUAAAUACGUUCAACUUCCUAGACCAUCCAGAAAUCCAUGUCAUUUUCAUGGUUGUAAUGGAUCAAAAUUCCACUGAUGGUAUAAAUUGUGAUGUCUUUUAACACGAUUUUGUUGCAGGUAGUGAACUCAGUUGCUAAAUGAAAUUACUAAGAGUGCGGAUCCUUUGUUUGUUAGAUAAGUUCAUUAUGAUGCUAAGACUGAUUUUCUAAUGUUGAAUAUAUAAUUCAUAAUGAUUGUUUGUUCAGUGAAUAUACUACAAUAUAGUAAUCCAAGAUGAUAUAUGAUUAUGAAUCUCAUUACUCUAGCAGAGCUCAUUCAGUUUCGAUGUAUUACCACUUGCCAUCUUAACUCAGCUGGAAGAGCCCAUGGGCUUGAACCAUGUGGUCGUGGGUUCGAUUCCCACAGAUGGCUGAGGGACCCUAUAGUUGUACGCAUUUUAGGGUGCAACUACUCUAACAUGGUUCUUCCUGCGGUACCAAAUCUUAUUACGUACCACAUUUAUAUUGAAGUGGACUUCACUGGAAAUUGAUAGGUCAAUAGAUAAUCACUGAGGUAGUUCAUUAGUUACCUUAGUUUUAUUCAUUUUAUCAGGCCACUUAUACUUCUUAUAUUGAAGUGGACUUCUUAUCGAAUUGAGGCAUCUUGGAUUGUUUUCAGAGGUACUCAAACGUUUAACUUCUUUUUUUUUAAUCCUUUACAGGUAAAAAUGUCACUGGUGGGUUCUCAGAGACUGUGGGCAUGGUCGCAAGAAUCUAACAACUGGCAAAAAUUCUGUAAAUUCUAUGUCUAAUAGCUGUACAUUACUUUUUUUGGUAUUUUUUGCUGGUUUUUUUUUUUUUUUUUCUGAAGGUAACAUUAUAUUAAGACCGAACAGAACACAAAGUACAGAGAUAACAACACAGGAAGCAGCUUAUCCUUAAUACAUACAGGUGGUGUGUUAUCCCAAACACUAGAUACAUGGGAUUUCCUAGCUAGCUUAGCCAGAAUAUCUGCUGCUUCAUUCAUUUUACGCGACACAUAUGUACAUAAUGAACUACCUAACAAACUUGAUCUGUUUUUACAGUCUUGAACAUAAGAGAAAAGUGUCCAAGGUAUAUUAGAAAGAUCACCAUUGAUGCCAAAAUAUCCAUGGGUUUUCAGGGUAUAACCGAGUGUAAGCUUCUUAAACUGUUUCCGCAGUAAGUGAAUGAUUCAUGCAUGGACAUAGUAUGCUGUGGUGGUCAUAGGUAAUAAUUGUCAUAACUCCAGUUAAAAGUAAUUUACUCACAGGUAUUAUCUGUUUUAACGUGAA